rnacentral:rRNA from 1 species
UACGUAGGGUGCGAGCAUUGUCCGGAAUUAUUGGGCGUAAAGAGCUCGUAGGCGGCCUGUCGCGUCGGAUGUGAAAGCCCGGGGCUUAACCCCGGGUCUGCAUUCGAUACGGGCAGGCUGGAGUUCGGUAGGGGAGAUCGGAAUUCCUGGUGUAGCGGUGAAAUGCGCAGAUAUCAGGAGGAACACCGGUGGCGAAGGCGGAUCUCUGGGCCGAUACUGACGCUGAGGAGCGAAAGCGUGGGGAGCGAACAGG